rnacentral:rRNA from 1 species
UACGUAGGGUGCAAGCGUUGUCCGGAAUUAUUGGGCGUAAAGAGCUCGUAGGCGGUUUGUUGCGUCGGCUGUGAAAACCCGGGGCUCAACCCCGGGCCUGCAGCCGAUACGGGCAGACUAGAGUUCGGCAGGGGAGACUGGAAUUCCUGGUGUAGCGGUGAAAUGCGCAGAUAUCAGGAGGAACACCGGUGGCGAAGGCGGGUCUCUGGGCCGAUACUGACGCUGAGGAGCGAAGGCCAGGGGAGCAAACGGG